CGUGUGUGUGUGUGUGUGCACGUGCGCACAUGCGCACACGCGCACACACGUGCGCACACACACACACACACC
rnacentral:miRNA from 1 species